rnacentral:rRNA from 1 species
CUCAAAUUGGGUGAGACUACCCGCUGAACUUAAGCU